UGUAGCAUAAGUAAUUUCACGGAAAGUGUUAAUUUCAUAUUGCUAUCUUCCUUGAUACUUCAAAUAAUAAAUGGAAAGCAAAUAUCAAAUAGUUCUAGUAUGAGAGUUACUUCAUUUAAUUGAUCGAUGUAAGAUUAUCAAAGUGAUUUGGCCCAAUUAUUUGCAGAGCUAGCUUACGCAGGGAUAGUCACCAUGAGAUGUGAUGUAUAGAGCUUCGGAGUUGUAGCGGUGGAGGUGUUGAUGGGAAGGCAUCCGGGAGAACUAAUCACCUCUCUACCUUCAAGAAGUCAUGGAAACAUAUUAAUACACGAUUUAUUGGAUCAUCGUCUCUCACCCCCUACAAACGAGCAAAUGAAUGAUAGCACCUCAGCAAUGAAACUGGCAGUUGAAUGCAUAAAUCCUGAUCCACAAUAUCGACCAAGCAUGCAACAGAUAUCUCAGGAGCUUUCUGCAGGAGUAUAAGCUUCUCAUAAUACAUUCCAUACAAUUGAAUCCUCUAUAGCUAGCAAACUGAAUUAGUAUACCUUUGGUGGGAUCAAUUAUUCCUUCCUUUCAGGCUUUCCUCCUUGUUCUCUGCUAGUAUAGAAUCCGGCAACCCACGUGCUUAUCCCACUUCGCCUCCCUGAAAUCCUCAACCUAAUAAGAACUUCUCGUUAUGUCUGAGAUGGGAAGCUGCCAAAAUCUAGAGUCUCGAAAUUCUUCCGUAUAUUCAAGCGUUGAUGGAGCAGAGAAUGGUAACCUAGCCACUGCUGUUGCGGACUUCGUUCCAAGCGUGCACUCCACGAGUCGCGAGACCAUUGAACUCCGAAGCCAAGUCUCGCUCUCGCGCAUUUCAUCGAACAGAUGAAGAGCUUGACUACACUACUACUUCUCGCAUAGCCCGCCGCCUUCAAAUCUUCAGAUGAGGACGGCGGUGAGGGCUGAGGAGUUCGCCGGAGAGCCGGCACGGCCACCAGAAGAUCGGGAAAGGACGCAGACCCGCUGCUCAAUUUGCUCGCCCCACAUAACGAGUUCCUCCGUUACCUCCAAAUGCGGAUGUCUUUAUUAUCUUUCCACGUGAACUCUUCCGCAUGGAGGUUUUAUGCGGGAAUCUCUGUUCCCUUACACAAUGUUUCUUGUGCGUAAAUCCGCAUAUGGUUUCUAUGCCGAUUAUCCGACUCCUGAUGCAAGUGUUAUGCGCGCGUCCUCACAAGGGGUUUAUGGUGAUGCUCUGGCUAUUAGCUACUGUUUUGACACAAGUGUCUCACGUUCACACGUUCACAUGUCCGCAUAUAUUUUUCUAUGGAUGCGGUUGACCAACAUCUACAAAAAGUAAGCUAGCCUGAUUGCAAGGACUUCCCUAGCGAUUUUGCAUAUACCACUCAGCAAGCAUAUUGGGACGAUUGCUUUUUACUUUCUAUUUGGUAC
rnacentral:lncRNA from 1 species